UCAUUAAUCUUAAGAAUAGUUGCUUUGGUGAAUACACUUCCAAAUUAACAAAUUAAUUUUGCCAAGAGCAGCAGAAGGAAAAAUAAAACACUUAAAUUUACCUAAUAUGAAUUUUAACUUAAGUUACCAAGAAGUGAAAAUAGAAAAGGAAAAUGGUUAGAAGCAAUUGAAACUGAAAAUAUCAAGCCAAAUGUAAAGGAUAUAUCAUAGUAUGUUCCCUACAUUUCCCCGAAAGUGCUUUCAAUAGAACAAUGGAUGUGAUUAGUCUGCACGAUGAUGCUAUACCAGUAUGUUUGCCGCUGCAUUCACACAGGGUACCGGUUGAGCCUCAAAUCCCGAACUCAAAAAUGAACAGAGUGAAUCCGAGUGCAUCACAGGCUGCACGAAAUAGUUUAGUUCUAUAAUUUUCUCUGUUAUUAAGUAAUUAUUGUUUUUUUUUUCUAUUACCUACUGUAUAUUGUAUUGUUCAUCGUAAUAAAAAACUAUUAUAUACCUA